CCGUCGCCUCGAUGGCAUUGACGAUCAAGUUGAGAACAACUUGCUGUAGCUGUAUUCGGUCUCCGAAAACUGACGGCAGAUCAUCCUGAAGUUCAGUAUUCAGCGAAACGUGAAUUUCGCUGAGCGUCAAGGCAAUGGUUUCCAGAACAGUUUCAUUGAAAUCGAACCGUUCGUUCUGUGGCGCAGCCUUUCUAGCUAGAUUGCGAAUCCGACCGACGAUUU
rnacentral:misc_RNA from 1 species